rnacentral:rRNA from 1 species
UGGGGAAUAUUGGGCAAUGGGCGCAAGCCUGACCCAGCAACGCCGCGUGAAGGAAGAAGGCUUUCGGGUUGUAAACUUCUUUUAUCAGGGACGAAACAAAUGACGGUACCUGAUGAAUAAGCCACGGCUAACUACGUGCCAGCAGCCGCGGUAAUACGUAGGUGGCGAGCGUUAUCCGGAUUUACUGGGUGUAAAGGGCGUGUAGGCGGGCUUGCAAGUCAGAUGUGAAAUUCCACGGCUCAACCGUGGAACUGCAUUUGAAACUGUAGGUCUUGAGUGCUGGAGAGGCAAUCGGAAUUCCGUGUGUAGCGGUGAAAUGCGUAGAUAUACGGAGGAACACCAGUGGCGAAGGCGGAUUGCUGGACAGUAACUGACGCUGAGGCGCGAAAGCGUGGGAAGCAAACAGGAUAGAUACCC